GCGGGUUGUUUACUUCUCACAUAAUCUUGAUAUCAGCCACGGCAAAUCAAGUUACAGGACAUGAAUAGCUUUGUGAACAUGUGAAGGUUAUACAGUUUUAUGGAGUGAGUGGUAAACAUCAUUAAACCAUCAAGACUCAAGUACAGGGCAAGGCAGAGGAACAGUGAAGGCUGCCAAGGGAAACCUGUUCAAACAUGAUGGAAUGAGAGUGGCAGAAAUAGCAAAUAAAGAAAGGAAACAUAACCUCGCCCCGUAACAAGAAGCAGUAUUAACAGUGCAACCAUAAGUGCCAGCGAAACAGUGCCAACAUAACAGUGCCUUGUCUCUUUCCCGCUCCACCCACCUUGCCAAAUUGCCGUACUCAGCCUGUAACAUUUACCGAUUUCCGACCCAAAAACUAUCUCCUGGGCCCCAAUAACGAGAUGUGUUUGUAGUUAUCGUUAAAAUAGUUAAAUGCUGAUGUUUCUUGGCGAUAGUUACACGUCAGAAACCGGUCAACACUAUGCUCUGAGUACGACUAUCUGGCAAGGGUGCGCUCUCCGCCUCGUCGUCCCGCAGUCGUCAACCGCGGCAGCUUAUGGAUCAAGCAGCGGCAGGGCGUAAUGAAAGCCCUUCAGAGCCCCGACACGGCCUUUAAGGAGAGAGCGUGCGAACGUACCCUUGCCGAGAUGCGACCGACUGACGCAGCCGACGCGAGGCAGCCAGCACGACACAUCCCGGAUUAUGGCUCUCGACAGCUCAUUAUGGCGCUGAC